rnacentral:lncRNA from 1 species
CUAAUAAAUUAAUGACACUAAUAAAGAAUCGUAUUACAAAAUAUCAUCGGGGAUGAACACUGAAGAAGCUCAGAGGGUUAACUGUUUGUUUAAUGAUUUUUACAUUUCUGUUCCUCGCUGCCCUGCGGCCGGAGGAGCAUCACUGGGCUCUGUCACCUGCUCCCGGCUCGUCACUAGAGGGCAAUGAAGGCUCCCAGUGCAGAGGUUCCCUGCAGAGUCUCGGCUUCCCCGGAACGACUUCUUUUCUCUUUUAGUAGAAAAACACAUGGCAGUAGUGUGGAAAAACAAGUGAUGAUGUCAGAACUGGCUUAUGAAACAGCUGUGUGUAUUUACAAUGAACAGUUCCUCUUCAUCCAAAGUUUCCCAACACUUAAAGGGGAGUAAGAAUACUGACUUAUCUCUGUAAACUGUUAAAAAAGCAGAUGAAGACUCUAGGUAACAUUGCUGCUGAGGAAUAGAAAGUUACAAUAUACUUUAUCUGAGCCAGAUAACCAUUCUAUUUUCUAUACUUUUUUAUUAGACAUAAAUCAGUAAUUUGAGAAAAUAUUAAUGUUUAAUAAAUGUUAAAUGAAAUCUGCA